UUAUCUAGAAAAGUAUGAAAAAGUCCAUCAUUUUGGGGAGGAGGAUGAUGAGGUACAACCAGGCAAUCCAAAGCCACAACUUCCUAUUGGUGCAAUUCCGACUUCCUAUAACUACCAGCAACACAGUGUGUCAGAUUACCUUCGUCAAAGCUAUGGGCUCUCCAUGGACUUAAACUCACCAAAUGACUAUAAUAAAUUGGUGCUUUCGCUGUUAUCUGGACUCCCAAAUGAAGUGGACUUUGCAAUUAAUGUAUGUACUCUUCUUUCAAAUGAAAGCAAGCAUGUUAUGCAGCUUGAAAAGGACCCUAAAAUCAUCACUUUGCUGCUUGCAAAUGCUGGGGUGUUUGAUGACACUUUAGGAUCAUUUUCUGCUGUAUUUGGAGAA